rnacentral:rRNA from 1 species
GACGAACCGUGCGAACGUUAUUCGGAAUCACUGGGCUUAAAGCGCGUGUAGGCGGAUGGGAACGUCGGUAGUUGAAAGCCCCCGGCUCAACCGGGGAAGUGGUGCCGAAACGACCCGUCUGGAGGGACGUAGGGGGACCUGGAACUUCCGGUGGAGCGGUGAAAUGCGUUGAGAUCGGAAGGAACGCCCGUGGCGAAAGCGAGGUCCUGGACGUCUACUGACGCUGAGACGCGAAAGCUAGGGGAGCAAACGGGAUUAGAUACCCCGGUAGUCCUAGCCGUAAACGAUGGGCACUGGGUAGGGGGCUCGCCGAUGGGCUCUCUGCCGUAGGGAAACCGUGAAGUGCCCCGCCUGGGGAGUAUGGUCGCAAGGCUGAA